UACGAAGGGGGCUAGCGUUGCUCGGAUUGACUGGGCGUAAAGGGCGCGUAGGCGGUUCGUACAGUCAGACGUGAAAUUCCUGGGCUCAACCUGGGGGCUGCGUUUGAUACGUGCGGACUUGAGUGCGGAAGAGGGUCGUGGAAUUCCAGUGUAGAGGUGAAAUUCGUAGAUAUUGGGAAGAACACCGGUGGCGAAGGCGGCGACCUGGUCCGAUACUGACGCUGAGGCGCGAAAGCGUGGGGAGCAAACAGG
rnacentral:rRNA from 1 species